CCUUAAUUAGCUUAUCCAAAGCCUUAAACUCUUAAUUUAAAAGAAAAUAGUUGAACUCUAUUAUUAAGGG
rnacentral:tRNA from 1 species